rnacentral:sRNA from 1 species
UGCCAGUACGUGGUCUCCACUCGGGGAUCU